GAGCAGGCGCGCAAUUACCCAAUCCUGACUCAGGGAGGUAGUGACAAGAAAUAACAAUAAACCGGCUUAUGCCGGUUUAAUUGGAAUGAGUACAAUUUAAACAUCUUAACGAGGAACAAUUGGAGGGCAAGUCUGGUGCCAGCAGCCGCGGUAAUUCCAGCUCCAAUAGCGUAUACUAAAGUUGUUGCAGUUAAAAAGCUCGUAGUUGGAUUUCUGUGGGGACGGAGCGGCCGGCCGCACAUCGCGGUUCGAGCUAGCGCUUUCCCUACAUCCUGCCGCGAACCGUGCUACCAUUAAUUUGGUGGCGCUGGGGAUCGGCUCGAUUACUUUGAGAAAAAUAGAGUGUUCAAAGCAGGCCACAUGCCUUGAAUAAGUUAGCAUGGAAUAAUAACUAAGGACUUCGGUUCUAUUUUGUUGGUGUUCGGGACUGAAGUAAUGAUUGAUAGGGACAGUUGGGGCGGUCUGUAUUCCAAAGCGAGAGGUGAAAUUCUUAGACCUUCGGAAGACAAACAGCUGCGAAAGCGUUCCGCAAGGAUGUUCCCUUUGAUCAAGAACGAAAGUUGGGGGAUCGAAGACGAUCAGAUACCGUCGUAGUCUCAACUAUAAACUAUACCAGCUAGGGAUCGGCCAACGUUAUUUUAUACCGACUUGGUCGGCACCUUAUGAGAAAUCAAAGCAUCUGGGUUCCGGGGGGAGUAUGGUCGCAAGGCUGAAACUUAAAGGAAUUGACGGAAGGGCACCACCAGCCGUGGAGCCUGUGGCUUAAUUUGACUCAACACGGGAAAACUUACCAGGUCCAGACAUAGUAAGGAUUGACAGAUUGAUAGCUCUUUCUUGAUUCUGUGGGUGGUGGUGCAUGGCCGUUCUUAGUUGGUGGAGUGAUUUGUCUGGUUAAUUCCGUUAACGAACGAGACCCCAGCCUGCUAAAUAGCGCGAGUGAGCUUUGCUCGCUGCGAGCUUCUUAGAGGGACUAUGAUGCGCGAUAGCACAUGGAAGUUUGGGGCAAUAACAGGUCUGUGAUGCCCUUAGAUGUUAUGGGCCGCACACGGGCUACACUGGCGCCUGCAACGAGCAUAUCAGCUGGCCCGAGAGGGUCUUGGCUAAUCUUUUGAACCGGCGCCGUGCUUGGGAUUGGCCUUUGCAAUUGUUGGUCAUGCAACGAGGAAUGCCUUGUAAACGCGAGUCAUCAGCUCGCAUUGAAUACGUCCCUGCCCUUUGUACACACCGCCCGUCGCUCCUACCGAUGAAUGUUCCGAUGAAAUUUUCGGAGAGCACCUGUGAACUUGGCUCUGCCUUGCGAACGGGAGGCUCAAAGUCACAUAAAUCGAACAUCGAGAGG
rnacentral:rRNA from 1 species